rnacentral:rRNA from 1 species
UAAGGAAUAUUGGUCAAUGGACGCAAGUCUGAACCAGCCAAGUCGCGUGAAGGAAGAAGGUUCUAUGGAUUGUAAACUUCUUUUGCAGGGGAAUAAAGGACGGUACGUGUACUGUUUUGUAUGUACCUUGCGAAUAAGGAUCGGCUAACUCCGUGCCAGCAGCCGCGGUAAUACGGAGGAUCCGAGCGUUAUCCGGAUUUAUUGGGUUUAAAGGGUGCGUAGGUGGAUUGUUAAGUCAGUGGUGAAAGUUUUCAGCUCAACUGAAAAAUUGCCGUUGAAACUGUCGAUCUUGAGUGCAAAUGAGGUAGGCGGAAUGUGUUGUGUAGCGGUGAAAUGCUUAGAUAUAACACAGAACUCCGAUUGCGAAGGCAGCUUACUGGGAUGCAACUGACACUGAUGCACGAAAGCGUGGGUAUCAAACA